rnacentral:rRNA from 1 species
UACGGAAGGCAGCAGUGGGGAAUAUUGCACAAUGGGCGAAAGCCUGAUGCAGCUAUGCCGCGUGUAUGAAGAAGGCCUUAGGGUUGUAAAGUACUUUCAUCGGGGAGGAAAAAACAAAACUAAUAAUUUUAUUUCUUGACGUUACCCGAAAAAGAAGCACCGGCUAACUCCGUGCCAGCAGCCGCGGUAAUACGGAGGGUGCUAGCGUUAAUCAGAAUUACUGGGCGUAAAGAGCACGUAGGUGGUUUUUUUAAGUCAGAUGUGAAAUCCCUGGGCUUAAACCUAGGAACUGCAUUUUGAAACUGAAAUACUAGAGUAUCGUAGAGGGAGGUAGAAUUCUAGGUGUAGCGGUGAAAUGCGUAGAUAUCUGGAGGAAUACCUGUGGCGAAAGCGGCCUCCUAAACGAAUACUGACACUGAGGGUGCGAAAAGCGUGGGGAGCAAAACAGGGAUUAGAUACC